GGAGAUGUGGCCGAGAGGCUGAAGGCGACGGUUUGCUAAAUCGUUAUAGGGGAAACCCUAUCGUGGGUUCGAAUCCCACCGUCUCCGCCA
rnacentral:tRNA from 2 species